CGUCUCCAUUAUUGAGAGUGGCAGCAGGAGGAUGCAGCGGGCUGCUGUGCUCCUGCACCUGCCCUGGAUGCCAGAGGAUCUCUGUUUGUCAGCGUCAGAGUGACGCUGAUCUGGAUUGCAGCUGAUGAGAAACUCUGCUCUGUGCUGAUGGUACCGACGGUGGCCUUGGGAAGGCAGCGGGAGGGGAUGGAGGCUGGCUCUGCAGCCUUCGUGUCUGGAGAGGUUUGAAUCAAACAGGGCAGUGAUCCAGUGUUGGUGGGAACAGCUUCAGCCUCUCCAAGGAAUACUGUAUAAAGACGAUCCUUCCCUUCUCAUCUCUGUGUUUCAGGUCUGGCAAGAGGAUUAAGAAGACCAGGAAGUACGACAUUAUCACCACUCCAGCCGAGCGGGUAGAAAUGGCUCCUCUGAAUGAAGAAGAUGAUGAGGAUGAAGACUCAACAGUGUUUGAUGUGAAAUACAGGUAAAGCAGCUCCAUGGAGACUUGGUGCCCUGCAAGAUGUCAUUCUGCUGUUGAGGGACGUGCUGAAGCCAUAACUGUGAAAGGGGAGGCUUUCAUCUCUGCAGCGUUACAACCAAACCAACCAAACCUCCUCGAGGUGCUGUUUGUGCAGCAGGCUAUGGAUCUUCUGACCAAAACGUCACCAUUCGGUUCCCUGGUUUCCAAACUGCUGUGUUGGAAUGACCAGAGUUCCUCUUUGCAAACCCAGCUCUCUCUUGCUUCAGGAGGGCUGUGGUGUCACUAAAGCAUGACAAGAUGCAGCCCCACGUACCGAUUCGCAUUAUGGUCUAAAUAAGUUUUGCAGAAGGAAGAGGACAAGGAAGACUGAACCAAGCUGCCCCAAGGACUUAUUUUCUAAAAUCCUAAUUCAAUGCUUCAGUCACUGUUAAACUUUGGUUGUUGUUAAACAGAUUACAUGUUUAAAAAAAAAAAUCAAAAAUUUUAUUUUUUUGGCCUACAGAGGUGACUUACAACUUUAGGUGGUAAAAGUGUAAGCCAUGCUGAAAUACCAUGCUGUAUGUUUAGUGUAGGAUUUUUUUGGGGGUAGGGAGUGAGAGGUUGAUUCAUGUCUUGACUUGCUACUGAUUUUUUUUUUUAUUUUUAAAACCACAAUUGCACUAAGCUUUCAUGAUGACAUUCUCAUUGUCCCAAGGAGCUCUGGUCAGACCAACUUCAAUAAAUGAGACCAUGGGGAAAUAGGAAGAAUCGGGCAUGUCCUAAACUACAACAGUCUUGGAUUAAAGAAGAUAUAUUUUUGUAAUUUUCUGCCCUUUCACAGGGAGUAAAAACAGUGUUUUGUACUGUCCUGUGCUGACUUGUAACUUGUCUACAAUUCAUCUGUAUUACCUUUUUUGUAAGCAAAAUAAGUCCUCAUGUGGAAUGAUUAGAUUGCAGAAAGAACACCUCUUAUUUUUCGUGGAAGCUUCAUGUAAGUGAUCUUAAUCUGUAUCAAACUGGAAGUUUUCCCCUACCACCUGCUUGACAAAUCACAUUUAACUCAAGGAUGCAUUUUUAACCAUCACUCCCUGCUGUGCUUUGUGCUGCAGAGGUCAGAGCUGUGGGAUGACACUAUGAGAAUUAGAUUGCUGCAUCUGGUUAGAUUGGGUUUAGGAGACCGCAAGCAUGUACACUUCCCAGCCCCUCGUUAUAAAGGGCAAGCCUAACUGCUUUAGUUUCUUUACUUUGUGGUUUUCCUUUAAAGUAACCACAGAGGCAGUUCAGACUUUACUGUUUACUUCACCCCUCAAUACCUUUUAUUUUUGGUUUUUAAGCUGGCUAGAACCUUGCUUUUCUUGGGGAACGUAUGUUUUCCAGUUGUUUUAGGAUUGUCCCACUGUUUGCUUGACCCUCUACUAGCCCCCUGCAGUUACAACCCCUCAAGGAGCUGCAGAGUUUCUGGCAAAGCAUCAGUGUUGCUGGGUUUUUUUUUUUUUUUUUUUUUUGAAGGCCUGUUGGGGUUUGAGGCUUGCUGAGAACACUGAACUGUUUUGUCAUGAUACCGUGACCUAUGCCAGUUCUGUGCGGUUCCUUUGGGCUCUGCAGUCAGGAAAAGGAGGUGAAGGGGAAUUUCUUUUUUUUUCCUUCCCAGCAGCCUGGUACUUCCAUCAAAGAAGCUCCCAUAACACAGCUUGCUUUCCCUUGCUGUGACUCAGCAAAGGCUUUGCAAACAGCCCGCUUAGCAUGGAUGGAAAAAUCCCACAGCAGACUGUUGGCUUAAUAUUACUCAUCAAGGCAAUAUAAAAAUGCUAUGUUACUUUCAUUCAUGGAAUGAGUUUGAGUCAUUCCGUAUUACUGUUACUAAGCAAUAUUUAACUUGUCAGCUGUGAGGUGAGGAUGGGGCCAAGCAGGUUGUGUUCUGGCUGGUAGGAAUCGUUGGUACCAGCAGGUUGAACAAUGCUGUGAGUUGAGAUAAGAUCUGGGGUUCUUCCCCUGCCUAGGUAAAACAGGUUUCAGACUUAGUCUGAAUGAUUCUGAAGGAAAUACUUUGCCUUUUUAGGACUAAAGUACUUUGAAGACCAGGAAUUGAACUUCUUAGGCAGACUGAGUCCUUUUGAAGUCAGAGAAGUGACGAUGCUGAGAGAGGAGAGAGAGGUUAAAAGCUUCUGUCUGCAUUUGUGGAAGGAGGUGAUGGAGUGAAGUGGCUGCCCUGUCUGAGCAGACACCAUGGCAACAUGUUCAUGUCCACUCUUCUGCCAAACUCAUCAAACUGAGCAUUAUGUGCUCUGGAUGAGUGGUGGAGAGGGAAUGCAAACCUUCUCUUUGAACAAAAGAAAGGCGAGACCAAGUUACGUAGGAGAGAGAUGAGAGGAAAAGGUGCAUAAAGGACACUUCAAGGGUGAGUCAGUUCUUGAAAUCAGGAGUUUUCCCAACAACUUCAGGUCACUUGCUGAUUUAGGCUGGCAAAGGCCAUCCUCUCCCCUUGCUUGUGGCUAAAAAAUCCCACCAUUUCUGUAACGUGGCCAAAUCUCAAUGGUGGAUGGGGACCAGCUGUUUGAGAUGUUGAAGAUGGAGGUGCUCAACACUCCUUGAGGAGGUCCCGAACUGUGUGCCAUAAGCUCAAGGUGCUGAUAGGGAAGCAGCAGCCGCUGGGUGGAAAUAGAAGGCCAACCUCACCAGUUGCUCAAGGUCAUGAAAAUAAUCUGAACGCUUUGUUUGAUACUCAAUUGCUGUUGCAAAUGUGAGGCAAUGUUUACCUCUACAGAAGUUGCUGUAUGUGAUUUAAAGUGUCUGGUUAAAUAUUCUAUAGCUAUAUUUAGUUAAGAUUUUAAGAGCACUUGAUGUGACUCAUCUAAUAGUAUAUAUAUGAAUAUUUUUUUAAUGGUAGGAAUUAGUUUUAAUAAUUUGAACUGUUUGGUUCAGGUAGUUCUAGGAGUUCAUCAGAGAAGAAAUAGCCAUUAACCACUACAUGAGUGUUUUACCUUAAUGUUCCGUGUAUCUUAACACUACAGAUUUAAUCUGAUUGUGACUGUAAUGUGUUUUAGUAUCUGCUGCUAUUUUGUGUUGCAUAGUCAAAACUUGCUUUGUUCAAGAGCAUUUUUAGAGGCUUUUUUUUUUUUUGUUACAGAAAGUGAAAAGAGAAACGUUAUUACAGAUGUUUGCCUGUAACUUGCUCACUGCUUACAAAAUCUUCUACUAGUAGCAGAGUCAAACAGAGCAGGCAAAUUAGAGGCUUUCCUGUUUGUGCUUGCUGUGCUGUGGAGGAAAAGCCCAGCGCAGUAUUGCAGCUUCUUUAACUCCAACCACAGCCCUGUCACCAGGGAUUAUGUUUGAGAAGCCUGAAGUUGCUGUGCCAUGCUUGCCUGCAGAAUUAAGUCAGAAGUACACAGAUAGCUUUGUAUUAGUGGUUUGUUUUGUUGUUUGUUUUUGUUUUUUUUUUCUUUUUCCUCCUGGAAGAUGUGGAGAUGACUUGUUUAGUACACUAACUUGUGCUAUCCUAAUGCUUAUCUUAAGCCCAGACUGGCUUGGAGAAGUCUACAAGCACUAACGAAGCUUGAACACACAAGCGCUAAAGCAUUCGCCGGUUUUGUGCGAAGCUGUUCCCUCUGAUUCACUGUACGUGGUAUAAUCUCUGCAGGGUAGCAGGCAAUGGUUUUCAUUAAGAGUUUUUUCUUCUGUUAGAUGAGUUGUUGCUGCUGCAUUUUUUGUGUGAGGAGUUAUCAGGACCAUGCAUUUUGUUUUGUGCAAUUGCUUGAACUUUUUAAAAACAAAUGUUUUAAGAGAAUUUUUCAUUGCGACCAAAGCUUCUUUUUAAGAAAAAAUUGGUAAGACAAGUUUGAAUGGACUUCUCAUGUUUCAGUAGAAACUGCCAUCAUUAAACAUGUUCUUGAAA